GCGGCGUUAACUCAGUUGGAUAGAGUAUCCGGCUUCUACCCGGACUGUCGGGGGUUCGAAUCCCUCACGCCGCGCCA
rnacentral:tRNA from 1 species